UAGUGGUUCAGCGGUAGCAGUUGCUACUGAGCUUGUUGACUUUGCCAUUGGUAAGCUUUUGUGAUUAGUGGACCUUGAAUUGCUUGAAGUGCUAGACUGCUAAUCUAUUGGUUUGUUUAUUACAUUUGACACUUGUGAAAACAAUAAAUUGUGAGCUUCAAAAAUACUUGCUUGACUGAUAUUCUCUUUCCCAGGAAAAGAAACUUCUUUUGGAACAGAAUGGAUCACAUCUUGCAAAAAUCUCAGUUUACGAGACCAAUAAAUUGUCCAGCAAUACUCUUGUUGGAUACUGUGAGAUUGAUCUGCUUGAAUUUCUGACCCAGGGUAUACGCACAAGUUAUGCUGAAAAGGGAGGAAAAGGCAUCAAGGGGAAAAGAAGUGAUUCUGAUUCUGACACUGAGAUCAUCAACCUUUUAGAUCCAUCAGUUCCAGGAAAAGUGGUUGGCAGCAUUUCUAUUUCAUGUUCUAUAGAGGACCCAAUUGAGACGGAGAAAGGUUUUGUAAGACGCAUCUUAUCUAUAGUGGACUUCAAUGAAGAUGGGAUGCUUUCACUGUCUGAAUUUUCUGAUCUAAUCGAUGCUUUUGGCAAUCAAUUAGCAACCAGCAAG